rnacentral:tRNA from 1 species
GGAAAGUUGCCAGAGUGGUCGAUCGGGUCGGUCUCGAAAACCGAUGUACUCGCAAGGGUACCCAGGGUUCGAAUCCCUGACUUUCCG